UAAUCACAUAGUGAAAAAAGUAAAAAUUGACCACAGCUGUCCUUGGCAAUCCCCAAGGUGGAAGCCAUGGAGACAAACCAAUCCUGCCGCUGCUGGGCCACUCCCACUGAGUGGGGUGAACUGAUCAGGAAGGCAGAGCAGAAAAACAGAAGAAUAGAAACAGUUUAGACAUAGCUCUGAACCAGUUUGAGGACACACCCCAAGGGAACUGAAGAUGGACCCUACAGUGUGUUCUGCAAAUGCUGGUGAUCUAACAAGGAACCACUUUGCAGAGCUGAGAAAAAAGUCCACCAUUCCAAGGGUUGCUGUGACAUGCUGUAUGACAAAGAACAGUCCUUCAUUGAUUUCUCAGCCUGCUCUGAGAUCCAACAAGUCUGCCAUUACUACACACACCCCAUUUCCUCUUUGUGAAGGUGCAUUCCCACCCCCAAACCUCCCUAUAACACACAUA